AUGCCUACGGGACGCAGCAGUAGGGAAUCUUCCACAAUGGGCGAAAGCCUGAUGCAGCGACGCCGCGUGAGUGAAGAAGUAUUUCGGUACGUAAAGCUCUAUCAGCAGGGAAGAAAUAAAGUCCUUUGGACUUUGGACGGUACCUGACUAAGAAGCCCCGGCUAACUACGUGCCAGCAGCCGCGGUAAUACGUAGGGGGCAAGCGUUAUCCGGAUUUACUGGGUGUAAAGGGAGCGUAGACGGCAGCGCAAGUCUGGAGUGAAAUCCCAUGGCUUAACCAUGGAACUGCUUUGGAAACUGUGCAG
rnacentral:rRNA from 1 species